UGGGGAAUCUUGCCCAAUGGGCGAAAGCCUGAGGCAGCAACGCCGCGUGUGGGAUGACGGCCCUCGGGUUGUAAACCACUUUCAGCAGGGACGAAAUUGACGGUACCUGCAGAAGAAGCUCCGGCCAACUACGUGCCAGCAGCCGCGGUAAUACGUAGGGAGCGAGCGUUGUCCGGAUUUAUUGGGCGUAAAGCGCGCGUAGGCGGUUUCGUAAGUCGGAUGUGAAAACUCCAAGCUCAACUUGGAGCCUGCAUCCGAAACUGCGGUGACUAGAGUCUGGUAGGGGAACACGGAAUACCUGGUGUAGCGGUGAAAUGCUUAGAUAUCAGGUGGAACACCAGUGGCGAAGGCGGUGUUCUGGGCCAGUACUGACGCUGAGGCGCGAAAGCGUGGGGAGCGAACAGGAUUAGAUACCCCUGUAGUCC
rnacentral:rRNA from 1 species